rnacentral:misc_RNA from 1 species
GAUGAAGAACGUAGUGAAAUGCGAUAAGUAAUGUGAAUUGCAGAAUUCAGUGAAUCAUCGAAUCUUUGAACGCACCUUGCGCUCCUUGGUAUUCCGAGGAGCAUGCCUGUUUGAGUGUCAUUAAAUUCUCAACCUCAUCAGUUUUGUUAUGAAGCUGUGUGAGGCUUGGAUGUGGGGGUUUGUGCAGGCUGCCUCAGUGCGGUCUGCUCCCCUGAAAUGUAUUAGCGAGUUCCAACUGGGCUCCGUCUAUUGGUGUGAUAAUUAUCUACGCCGUGGAUUGGGCUUAGACUUGCUUCUAACCGUCCGCAAGGACAAUCUUUUGACAAUUUGACCUCAAAUCAGGUAGGACUACCCGCUGAACUUAAGCAUAUCAAUAAGCGGAGGA